AUUGAACGCUGGCGGCAUGCCUAACACAUGCAAGUCGAACGGUUAAAGGGCGCUUGCUCCUGGAGUCAGCGGCGCGCGGGUGUGAAAUGCCUAGGAAUCUGCCUGGGAGGGGGGGAUAACGUCCGGAAACGUGCGCUAAUACCACAUGCGUCCUGAGGGAAAAAGUGGGGGAUCUUCGGACCUCACGCUCUGAGCUGAGCCUGGGUCGGAUUAGCUAGUUGGUGGGGUAAAGGCCUACCAAGGCGACGAUCCGUAACUGGUCUGAGAGGAUGAUCAGCCACACUGGAACUGAGACACGGCCCAGACUCCUACGGGAGGCAGCAGUGGGGAAUGGUGGACAAUGGGCGAAAGCCUGAUCCAGCCAUGCCGCGUGUGUGAAGGAGGUCUUCGGAUUGUAAAGUACUUUUAGUGGGGAGGAAGGGCAGUAAGCUAAUACCGAGCGGUUAUGACGGUACCUACAGAAUAAGCACCGGCUAACUACGUG
rnacentral:rRNA from 1 species